rnacentral:rRNA from 1 species
AUGGAUAAUUCUCAACAACAAUAUCUAUAUUACUGUAUGUGGAAGCAACGCACACUACUUGUCCUUUUUGUAAUGUUGGUCCUUUGGUGGAGCAAGAAAAAAGGGAGGAAGAAUAGAGCUAAACGUGUCAAGUAUGGUCUACUUGUCAAGAGAGAUAUUUGGAGGAGUACUGAACUAAUUAGACUGAUCGACACCUCGGAAAGGACGUGUUUGCGCCAGCUCAGGAUGUAUCCGGCUGUUUUCUACAAGUUGUGUGCUCACCUUAGGGACAAAAAGCUUUUGGCUGACACAAUUCAUGUGUCCGUAGAGGAGCAGCUAGCUAUGUUUUUGAAAAUUGUUGGGCAAUAUCACACUCAUUCCUCUGUAGGAUUUGCGUUGUGGCGAUCUGAGGAGACAGUGAGUAGAAUGGGUGAGCAAAAAGAAGGUGCCAAGACUGAGGUUGCUCGCUCUCGUGAUAAUUACAUGUCAUGGAGUGAUGAUUGUACCAAGUAUAUGCUUGAGUGGUACAUCGAGAAGCAAAGGGACAAGCCACCAACCUUCAAGUGGAAGGCACAACACCAUCUACAAUGUGCUAAUGAUUUGAAUGACAAGUUUGGAAUUACAGCUACAGCAAAACAAGUUGAUCGACACUUUAGGUCAUUCAAGGAGAAAUGGAAGUGGAUAAAGCUAGCAAAGGAGAGGAGCGGAUAUGGUUUCGAUAAAGUACUUAACAAAUUUAACAUUGACAAGUCAGAGAAAUCACCAAGCAAGCUUGGUAAAAUAAAAUUUAACUACCUUACUCACUCCAUCAAGUUUUAUCAUCUCCUGGAAGAACUGUUUAGUGACUCGUCUCAUGCGGAUGGCUCACUAGCUAUUGAUGUGAAUGAUGCAAGUGAGAAUGUGGAAUCUGAUGGUAGUAGUGAAACAAGCAACCACACAUCCACUGCCGAACAAGGUCUUAGUGAUUCCGACAUGAUUGCGCCCAACAGUCCAGCUGAAGGCACUAGCUCAAAUCUGAAGCGCAAGCAUGUUAAAGCACCACAUAAGAAGAAACCAAAGGUCAAGGCGCGUCGAGCCAGCGUGUUAGAUGAUGAUGUGGCAGCGAGCAUUGUGAGUCUUGCUGAAACUGUGAAAUCUGCUGCCCCUAUUCAGCCAAUAGCAGUUACAGACCCCAAUGCCAAUCUUUGGAAACACAUUGAGUCGCUAACUAUCCCAGCAAAUGAGAAGAUUGAGUUAGCAGCCUAUCUUGCUAAGCCAGAACAAGAAAUUUUCCGUGGUUUCCUGAACUGUGCAAGCGUCCAGACUUUUAAUGCUUGUGUCCUUGAUUAUUUCGCGCACAAGUACGACGGCAAUGAUCGCACAGCUGCUGAUCCAUCAAUCUGA